rnacentral:rRNA from 1 species
GUCCGCACGAGCGCAACACCCUGUCCCUGUGUUGCUACUCCGCAAGGAGAGGACUCUCAGGAGACUGCCGUGGAUAACACGGAGGAAGGUGGGGAUGACGUCAAAUCAUCAUGGCCUUUAUGUCCAGGGCUACACACGUGAUACAAUGGUACAGACAGAGGGCUGCAAGACCGUAAGGUGGAGCCAAUCCCUAAACUGUAUCCCAGUUCAGAUCGAGGGCUGCAAUUCGCCCUCGUGAAGUUGGAAUCGCUAGUAAUCGCAGAUCAGCAGGCUGCGGUGAAUACGUUCCCGGGCCUU